rnacentral:rRNA from 1 species
GACGAACGCUGGCGGCGUGCUUAACACAUGCAAGUCGAACGGCAAGGCCCGGGCUUGGUGGUGGUGGCGAGUGGCGAACGGGUGAGUAACACGUGGGUAACCUGCCUGUGACGGUGGGUUAACUUCAGGAAACUGGGGCUAAUACCGGAUAGGAGCUCCUGCUGCAUGGUGGGGGCUGGAAAGUUUCCGCGGUUGGGGUUGGACUCGCGGCUUAUCAGCUUGUUGGUGGGGUAGUGGUUUCCCAAGGCUGUGACGGGUAGCCGGCCUGAGAGGGUGACGGGCCACAUUGGGCCUGCGAUAGGCACCAGACUGCUACGGUAGGCAGCGGUGGAGAAUAUUGCACAAUGGGCGGAAGCCUGAUACAGCAACGCCGCGUGCGGGAUGACGGCUUUCGGGUUGUAAACCGCUUGGGCCUGUGACGAAGCGUGAGUGACGGUAAUGGGUAAAGAAGCACCGGCUAACUACGUG